AGAGUUUGAUCAUGGCUCAGGAUGAACGCUGGCGGCGUGCCUAAUCCAUGCAAGUCGAACGGAGACGAUAGCAAUAUUGUCUUAGUGGCGAACGGGUGAGUAACGCGUUGGUGACCUGCCCCGAAGCGGGGGAUAACAGACCGAAAGGUUUGCUAAUACCGCAUAAUUUGUUGAGAGUUAGAGAGCUUGACAAGAAAGCCGAAAGGCACUUUGGGAGGGGCCUGCGUCCCAUCAGCUAGUUGGUAAGGUAACGGCUUACCAAGGCGAUGACGGGUAGGGGACCUGAGAGGGUGGCCCCCCACAAUGGAACUGAAACACGGUCCAUACACCUACGGGUGGCAGCAGGAGGGAAUAUUGGUUAAUGUGCGAAAGCGCGAACCAGCAACGCCGCGUGUACGAUGAAGGCCUUCGGGUUGUAAAGUACUUUUCACCGGGAAGAGGAAGGACGGUACCGGUGGAAUAAGUCUCGGCUAACUACGUGCCAGCAGCCGCGGUAACACGUAGGAGACGAGCGCUAUCCGGAUUUACUGGGUGUAAAGCGCGUGCAGGCGGUUUGUUAAGUUGGAUGUGAAAGCUCCCGGCUAAACUGGGAGAGGUCGUUCAAAACUGGCAGACUAGAGUGUGGUAGAGGGGAGUGGAAUUCCGAGUGUAGCGGUAAAAUGCAUAGAUAUUCGGAAGAACACCAGUGGCGAAGGCGACUUCCUGGACCACAACUGACGCUCAGACGCGAAAGCCAGGGUAGCAAACGGGAUUAGAGACCCCGGUAGUCCUGGCAGUAAACGAUGUGAACUUGGCGUUGGUGGGAUAAAACCUAUCAGUGCCGAAGCAAACGCGAUAAGUUCACCACCUGGGGACUACGGCCGCAAGGUUAAAACUCAAAGGAAUUGACGG
rnacentral:rRNA from 1 species